AACUUUUAACAACGGAUCUCUUGGUUCUGGCAUCGAUGAAGAACGCAGCGAAAUGCGAUAAGUAAUGUGAAUUGCAGAAUUCAGUGAAUCAUCGAAUCUUUGAACGCACAUUGCGCCCGCUGGUAUUCCAGCGGGCAUGCCUGUUCGAGCGUCAUUUCA
rnacentral:rRNA from 1 species